UACGUAGGGUGCAAGCGUUAAUCGGAAUUACUGGGCGUAAAGCGUGCGCAGGCGGUUUUGUAAGUUUGUCGUGAAAUCCCCCGGGCUCAACCUGGGAAUUGCGAUGAAGACUGCAAGGCUAGAAUCUGGCAGAGGGGGGUAGAAUUCCACGUGUAGCAGUGAAAUGCGUAGAGAUGUGGAGGAACACCGAUGGCGAAGGCAGCCCCCUGGGUCAAGAUUGACGCUCAUGCACGAAGGGCGUGGGGAGCAAACAGG
rnacentral:rRNA from 1 species